UCAGAAUAAGGUGCUCUUUGACCAGUC
rnacentral:piRNA from 1 species